rnacentral:lncRNA from 10 species
GGGGCGUGGGAGUGACUGGGCGCGGAGAGGCCGGAGCCGGAGGCGAGGCGAGGCGUGAGAGUGAAUGAGGGAGGAGGGCUGUGAGGGGCUGGAGCGCCCCUGGGUGUCCUUGAGAUUGCGGGAAAUUCGGGUCACUUUUUCCCCAGGCCUCAGGCCUGCCGCGUCGAAUUUGGGGUCUUCGCUAGGCCUGCAAGGUUGGCCGACGUUCAGGAUCGGUGCCCAGGAGAUGGGCUGCCUUCUCUGGGGCUGGGCAAGGGACUCUGCCUGGCAGCGCGCCUGGACCGGGGCGGGAGCACAGGGCUGGAUGCGGGGCACCUCGGCGUGAUUCGCGGCGGCAAGUCUCUUUUGCAUCCCUACCCUGAGUUCCCCCAUUCUCUUUCCCCGAAGCAACCACUGUUAGGGUUUUUGCGUGCCCUUCCUAGAUGAUCUCCAGUCGUCCCUCGGUAUCCGCAGGCAGAUUAGCUCCAGGACAGCAAGCACCCCAUACUAAAAUCUGCGGAUGCUGAAGUCCCUCCUAUAAAAUGGCAUAGUAUUUACCUACAACUACGCACAUCCUCCCACA